GUCCAGACUCCUACGGGAGGCAGCAGUGGGGAAUAUUGGGCAAUGGGCGCAAGCCUGACCCAGCAACGCCGCGUGAAGGAAGAAGGCUUUCGGGUUGUAAACUUCUUUUAAGGGGGAAGAGGAGAAGACGGUACCCCUUGAAUAAGCCACGGCUAACUACGUGCCAGCAGCCGCGGUAAUACGUAGGUGGCAAGCGUUGUCCGGAUUUACUGGGUGUAAAGGGCGUGCAGCCGGGAGGACAAGUCAGAUGUGAAAUCCCGCGGCUCAACCGCGGAACUGCAUUUGAAACUGUUUCCCUUGAGUAUCGGAGAGGUCAUCGGAAUUCCUAGUGUAGCGGUGAAAUGCGUAGAUAUUAGGAAGAACACCAGUGGCGAAGGCGGAUGACUGGACGACAACUGACGGUGAGGCGCGAAAGCGUGGGGAGCAAACAGGAUUAGAUACCCGUGUAUC
rnacentral:rRNA from 1 species